rnacentral:rRNA from 1 species
CCUACUUUCUUCCGCCGUGCGGAAUAUUGGUCAAUGGGCGCUAGCCUGAACCAGCCAAGUAGCGUGAAGGAUGACUGCCCUAUGGGUUGUAAACUUCUUUUAUAUGGGAAUAAAGUGCAGUAUGUAUACUGCUUUUCAUGUACCUUAUGAAUAAGGAUCGGCUAACUCCGUGCCAGCAGCCGCGGUAAUACGGAGGAUCCGAGCGUUAUCCGGAUUUAUUGGGGUUAAAGGGAGCGUAGGCGGGUUGUUAAGUCAGUUGUGAAAGUUUGCGGCUCAACCGUAAAAUUGCAGUUGAUACUGGCAUCCUUGAGUACAGGAGAGGUAGGCGGAAUUCGUGGUGUAGCGGUGAAAUGCUGAGAUAUCACGAAGAACUCCGAUUGCGAAGGCAGCCUGCUGGACUGUAACUGACGCUGAUGCUCGAAAGUGUGGGUAUCAAACAGGAUUAGAUACCCUUGUAGUC